UACGUAGGGACCAAGCGUUGUCCGGAAUCAUUGGGCGUAAAGAGCGUGUAGGCGGCUUGUUAAGUCUUGCGUGAAAUCUCGGGGCUCAACCCCGAGCGGUCGUGAGAAACUGGCAGGCUAGAGUGCGGGAGAGGAGAGUGGAAUUCCUGGUGUAGCGGUGAAAUGCGCAGAUAUCGUAAGGAAGACCAGUGGCGAAGGCGAAUCUCUGGACAGUUACUGACACUGAGGCACGAAGGCCAGGGGAGCAAACGGG
rnacentral:rRNA from 1 species